rnacentral:tRNA from 1 species
GACCCCAUCGUCUAGAGGCCUAGGACAUCACCCUUUCACGGUGAGUACCGGGGUUCGAAUCCCCGUGGG